UACGAAGGGGGCUAGCGUUGCUCGGAAUUACUGGGCGUAAAGCGCGCGCAGGCGGCUAUCCAAGUCAGUGGUGAAAGCCCGGAGCUCAACUCCGGAACUGCCAUUGAAACUGUUUAGCUUGAGGAUGAGAGAGGUGAGUGGAAUUCCCAGUGUAGAGGUGAAAUUCGUAGAUAUUGGGAAGAACACCGGUGGCGAAGGCGGCUCACUGGCUCAUUACUGACGCUGAGGCACGAAGGUCAGGGGAGCAAACGGG
rnacentral:rRNA from 1 species